AAUGAACGUUGGCGGCGUGGAUUAGGCAUGCAAGUCGUGCGGCAUCAGGCCCGCAAGGGUGCUGGCGAGCGGCGAAAGGGAGAGUAACACGCGGGUACCUGCCCUCAGGACCGGGAUAGCUGCGGGAAACUGCAAUUAAUACCGGAUAACGUCUCCGGACCAAAGGUGUGAUUCCGCCGGAGGAGGGGCCCACGUCCUAUCAGCUUGUUGGUGUGGUAAUGGCGCACCAAGGCGACGACGGGUACGGGGUGUGAGAGCAUGCCCCCGCUCACUGGGACUGAGACACUGCCCAGACACCUACGGGUGGCAG
rnacentral:rRNA from 1 species